GUUAGGAAUAUUGGACAAUGGGCGAAAGCCUGAUCCAGCCAUGCCGCGUGAACGAUGAAGGCCUUCGGGUUGUAAAGUUCUUUAGCCGAUGAUUAUAAUGACUGUAGUCGGAAAAUAAGCCCCGGCUAACUUCGUGCCAGCAGCCGCGGUAAUACGAAGGGGGCGAGCGUUAUUCGGAAUCACUGGGCGUAAAGCGUGCGUAGGCGGUCUCGUAAGUUAGGAGUGAAAGCCCAGGGCUCAACCUUGGAAUUGCUCUUAAAACUGCAAGGCUAGAAUCUCGGAGAGGAUAGCGGAAUUUCCAGUGUAGCAGUGAAAUGCGUAGAUAUUGGAAGGAACACCAGUGGCGUAAGCGGCUAUCUGGACGAGUAUUGACGCUGAGGCACGAAAGCGUGGGGAUCAAACAGGAUUAGAAACCCGUGUAGUCC
rnacentral:rRNA from 1 species